CAGUAGCCACGGGAAUACGGAGGGUGCAAGCGUUAAUCGGAAUUACUGGGCGUAAAGCGCACGCAGGCGGUUUGUUAAGUUGGAUGUGAAAUCCCCGGGCUCAACCUGGGAACUGCAUCCAAAACUGGCAGGCUAGAGUAGGGCAGAGGGUGGUGGAAUUUCCUGUGUAGCGGUGAAAUGCGUAGAUAUAGGAAGGAACACCAGUGGCGAAGGCGACCACCUGGGCUCAUACUGACACUGAGGUGCGAAAGCGUGGGGAGCAAACAGGAUUAGAUACCCCUGUAGUCCCUGUCUCUUAUAC
rnacentral:rRNA from 1 species